rnacentral:tRNA from 1 species
GAGGGUAUUGUUCAGUGGUGGAGCACAUGCUUAGUAGGCACGCGGUCCCGGGUUCAAUCCCCAGUACCUCCA